GGCGGUGUAGCUCAGUCCGAUAGAGCAAUCGGUUCAUACCCGAUGUGUCACUGGUUUAAAUCCAGUCGCCGCCACCA
rnacentral:tRNA from 1 species